rnacentral:SRP_RNA from 2 species
GGCCGGGUCCCGUGCAAUGGAGGCUUGUAAACCCCGUCAGGUCCGGAAGGAAGCAGCGGUAGCAAAUCCCUUCAUGUGUUGCGGCAAACCUGGCCACC